GGUGAACGCUGGCGGCGGGCUUAACACAUGCAAGUCGAACGAAGCACUUUAUUUGAUUUCCUUCGGGACUGAUUAUUUUGUGACUGAGUGGCGGACGGGUGAGUAACGCGUGGGUAACCUGCCUUGUACAGGGGGAUAACAGUUGGAAACGGCUGCUAAUACCGCAUAAGCGCCCAGCAUCGCAUGAUGCAGUGUGGAAAACUCCGGUGGUAUAAGAUGGACCCGCGUUGGAUUAGCUAGUUGGUGACGUAACGGGCCACCAAGGCGACGAUCCAUAGCCGACAUGAGAGGGUGACCGGCGACAUUGGGACUGAGACACGGCGCAAACUCCUACGGGAGGCAGGAGUGGGGAAUAUUGCAAAACGGGCGAAAGCAUGAUGCAGCGACGCCGCGUGAGCGAAGAAGUAUUUCGGUAUGUAAAGCUCUAUCAGCAGGGAAGAUAAUGACGGUACCUGACUAAGAAGCACCGGCUAAAUACGUG
rnacentral:rRNA from 1 species